UCUGUAGGUGAAACCUGCGGAGGGAGUCAUUACCGAGUUUACAACUCCCAAACCCAAUGUGAACGUUACCAAACUGUUGCCUCGGCGGGAUCUCUGCCCCGGGUGCGUCGCAGCCCCGGACCAAGGCGCCCGCCGGAGGACCAACCAAAACUCUUAUUGUAUACCCCCUCGCGGGUUUUUUUAUAAUCUGAGCCUUCUCGGCGCCUCUCGUAGGCGUUUCGAAAAUGAAUCAAAACUUUCAACAACGGAUCUCUUGGUUCUGGCAUCGAUGAAGAACGCAGCGAAAUGCGAUAAGUAAUGUGAAUUGCAGAAUUCAGUGAAUCAUCGAAUCUUUGAACGCACAUUGCGCCCGCCAGUAUUCUGGCGGGCAUGCCUGUCCGAGCGUCAUUUCAACCCUCGAACCCCUCCGGGGGGUCGGCGUUGGGGAUCGGCCCUGCCUUGGCGGUGGCCGUCUCCGAAAUACAGUGGCGGUCUCGCCGCAGCCUCUCCUGCGCAGUAGUUUGCACACUCGCAUCGGGAGCGCGGCGCGUCCACAGCCGUUAAACACCCAACUUCUGAAAUGUUGACCUCGGAUCAGGUAGGAAUACCCGC
rnacentral:rRNA from 1 species